rnacentral:rRNA from 1 species
ACGCUGGCGGCAGGCCUAACACAUGCAAGUCGAACGGGAUCUUCGGAUCUAGUGGCGGACGGGUUAGUAACGCGUGGGAACGUACCCUUUUCUACGGAAUAGCCUCGGGAAACUGAGAGUAAUACCGUAUACGCCCUUCGGGGGAAAGAUUUAUCGGAGAAGGAUCGGCCCGCGUAAGAUUAGAUAGUUGGUGGGGUAAUGGCCUACCAAGUCUACGAUCUUUAGCUGGUUUGAGAGGAUGAUCAGCAACACUGGGACUGAGACACGGCCCAGACUCCUACGGGAGGCAGCAGUGGGGAAUCUUAGACAAUGGGGGAAACCCUGAUCUAGCCAUGCCGCGUGAGUGACGAAGGCCUUAGGGUCGUAAAGCUCUUUCGCUGGGGAAGAUAAUGACUGUACCCAGUAAAGAAACCCCGGCUAACUCCGUGCCAGCAGCCGCGGUAAUACGGAGGGGGUUAGCGUUGUUCGGAAUUACUGGGCGUAAAG